CGCUACCAGGUGCACAACGCUACCAGGUGCACAACGCUACCAGGAGCAUAACGCUACCAGCAACACAACGCUACCAGGUGCACAACGCUACCAGGAGCACAACGCUACCAGGAACACAACGCUACCAGGAGCACAACGCUACCAGGAGCACAACGCUACCAGGAGCACAACGCUACCAGGAGCACAACGCUACCAGGAACACAACCCUUUAUUUGUCUCUUAAUUUAUUAAUUAAGGCUUUUGAAAAGUUAAAUGAAAGGGCUAUUUCAGUGCCUGGAUCGAGGUGAAAAAAUAUAUUAAAUUGGAAGAAACUAUCGUGCAUAAUAUGAGAAUUUGUUUCCCAUUAAAUCAUAGUUUAAUCAUGAGGCAACACCCUCACUAAGCAUCCUCACUAAAUACAUUUGACAUUUAGCAGAAGCUCUUAUCCAGAGCGACCUACAGUGCAUUCAUCUUAAGAUAGCUAGGUAAGACAACCACAUAACACAGCAACUACACAACACAGCAACUACACAACACAGCAACUACACAACACAGCAACUACACAACACAGCAACUAUAUAACACAGCAACCACACAACACAGUCGAAGUACAUAACACAGCAACCACACAACACAGCAACUACACAACACAGCAACCACAUAACACAGCAACUACAUAACACAGCAACUACAUAACACAGCAACUAUAUAACACAGCAACUACAUAACACAGCAACUACAUAACACAGCAACUACAUAACACAGCAACUACACAACACAGUAACCACAUAACACAGCAACUAUAUAACACAGCAACUACAUAACACAGCAACUACAUAACACAGCAACCACAUAACACAGCAACCACAUAACACAGCAACCACAUAACACAGAAACCACAUAACACAGCAACUAUAUAACACAGCAACUACAUAACACAGCAACUACAUAACACAGCAACCACAUAACACAGCAACUAUAUAACACAGCAACUACAUAACACAGCAACUACAUAACACAGCAAAUACACAACCCAGUUACAACCCAAAUACACAACCCACAACCCACAACCCAGGGGAAGAUGGACAGGGACUGUUGUCAUAGCUUCAGGGGGGAAGAUGGACAGGGACCCUGUUGUCAUAGCUUCAGGGGGGAGAUGAACAGGGACUCUGUUGUCAUAGCAUCAGGGGGAAGAUGGACAGGGACUCUGUUGCCCUAGCAUCAGGGGGAGAUGAACAGGGACUCUGUUGUCAUAGCUUCAGGGGGGAGAUGGACAGGGACUCUGUUAUCCUAGCUUCAGGGGGAAGAUGGACAUGGACUCUGUUGUCAUAGCAUCAGGGGGAGAUGAACAGGGACUCUGUUGGCAUAGCUUCAGGGGGAAGCUCAUUCCACCAUCGGAGGGCAUAGCUUCAGGGGGAGAUGAACAGGGACUCUGUUGUCAUAGCUUCAGGGGGAGAUGAACAGGGACUCUGUUGUCAUAGCUUCAGGGGAAGCUCAUUCCACCAUCGGAGGGCAUAGCUUCAGGGGAAGCUCAUUCCACCAUCGGAGGGC
ensembl:lncRNA